UUAAGACCAGGAGCGUAUCGCC
rnacentral:siRNA from 1 species